GUCGUAACAAGGUUUCCGUAGGUGAACCUGCGGAAGGAUCAUUACAGUAGUCGCCCGGGUUGCCGCAAGGCCUCCCGGGUAACCUACCACCCUUUGUUUAUCACACUUUGUUGCUUUGGCAGGCCUGCCCUCGGGCUGCUGGCUCCGGCCGGCGAGCGCCUGCCAGAGGACCUAAACUCUGUUUGUCUAUACUGUCUGAGUACUAUAUAAUAGUUAAAACUUUCAACAACGGAUCUCUUGGUUCUGGCAUCGAUGAAGAACGCAGCGAAAUGCGAUAAGUAAUGUGAAUUGCAGAAUUCAGUGAAUCAUCGAAUCUUUGAACGCACAUUGCGCCCCCUGGUAUUCCGGGGGGCAUGCCUGUCCGAGCGUCAUUACAACCCUCAAGCUCAGCUUGGUGUUGGGCCCCGCCGCCCCGGCGGGCCCUAAAGUCAGUGGCGGUGCCGUCCGGCUCCGAGCGUAGUAAUUCUUCUCGCUCUGGAGGCCCGGUCGCGUGCCCGCCAGCAACCCCCAAUUUUUUUCAGGUUGACCUCGGAUCAGGUAGGGAUACCCGCUGAACUUAAGCAUAUCAUA
rnacentral:rRNA from 1 species